GUCUUCUCAAGGCGGAAUUUGGUGAAACUCAUCAUUUUUCAGGUUACCGAUAAUGCAAGUUUGGAAAGUGAAAGAGGAAGAACGCAGGCUGAGAAAGCUUUUAUCCAGCCGCAGAGUCUCUCCAGAUGCAAGGAACCUAUCCUCUAUCUUUGCUGCCCAAACUGAUGUCACGCUCUAAGGGACUGACUGGAUUUGCUAAACUGCAACAAGAUACCUUCAAAACCCCCGACUGCCUGCAGUGUGGGGCGGGGACCUGAGAAUCAAGGCCAGGACAGGCAACUACUCUCCCUAAGAUGGAGGCUGCAUGAUGUAAGUGGCUGGCUAAAAUAU